AGAGUCUGUGCAGAUCUCUGACAAGCCUGACCUUGGGGAAUGUUGCUCAUCAGACAGCUUGGCUACAGGGAAGAGCCUGUUUUGGAAUUGUCUGCUUUGUGUCAGCUCACCCAAAAAUGACAACAGAAAGAAAGAAACCAUGUUGAGACCUUAAGGGAACUGUUUGCUCUGAAGGUGGGAGCAAGGUCUUCAGCUACUUGCUGGCAUUGCUGGUGAUUCCCGUGGCCUCAUAGGUUUCUGGAGCUGCAGGGCACUGUUUAGCCCAUCCAAAGCACAAGUCUGAGGGUUCAGGUAAGAAAGCCACAUAACAGCAAAGUGAGAUCCAAGAUUUCAUGGAUGACUUCCAGUAAACAGCAGAAGACAGCACCCGAUACAGCCUUGGAUUCAGUUCCCAAACCAGUCAAAUGUCCGCGGCACCCUGUCCUUGGUGCUGAAAAGACUUUCCCUGAAUGUGCCUAUUGUCCCUGCCACUUGGCAGCAUCUGAGGAUAGUGAUGGGACACAAUGCUUCACUCUACUUUCAUAGGGAAUGGGGUAAUGAAUGCUAAAAUGCACAACAUGUGUACUUGUUGGCAUAGAUGUUCAAGAGUGGUUUGGGAAGUCAGUCUCUGGAGCUCCAUGCCAUUUGUGUCCUGACGAAGCUUGUACACAUUCCAAGAAUGUAUCUUAUCUCCUAAGUAUUGAAAGUACAAAUACCAACCCUGUAAUGUCGCCAUACAGAAGCUGUGCUGUUCUCUUCCUUAUGCUUAUGGCCACUGUGGAAUUUCACUUGUUUUUUUUGGUUCUUUUUUUUUUUUUCCUGAGCUGGGGACCGAACCCAGGGCCUUGCGCUUCCUAGGUAAGCGCUCUACCACUGAGCUAAAUCCCCAGCCCCCGGAAUUUCACUUGUGAUUAAUGUUUAAAGGCAUUAGCUUGUCAUUUUUAUGGAUUGUCCUUUCUAUAUAAUUAAGUCUUAAUAGGGUUUUUUUAUUUAUACCAAUAUUUAAUAAAACACUAGCAGAUAGUGAAUGUUUAAUGGGUUCUUUGUAAAUAAGAAUAAAUAAUUAGCUCUUGAUUAUAUGUUUAAAGAAUUUAGAGAAAAUUUAUAAGUAUUGUAUUCUAAUAAAACUCAUUUUAUGUUGU